rnacentral:rRNA from 1 species
CCUACGGGUGGCGGCAGUGGGGAAUAUUGGGCAAUGGGCGCAAGCCUGACCCAGCAACGCCGCGUGAAGGAAGAAGGCUUUCGGGUUGUAAACUUCUUUUCUCAGGGACGAAGAAAGUGACGGUACCUGAGGAAUAAGCCACGGCUAACUACGUGCCAGCAGCCGCGGUAAUACGUAGGGGGAACGCGUUAUCCGGAAUUAUUGGGGGUAAAGGGCGUGUAGGCGGGAGCGUAAGUCAGAUGUGAAAGCCCAGGGCUCAACCCUGGGACUGCAUUUGAAACUGUGUUUCUUGAGUGCUGGAGAGGCAGGCGGAAUUCCGGGUGUAGCGGUGAAAUGCGUAGAGAUACGGAGGAACACCAGUGGCGAAGGCGGAUUGCUGGACAGUAACUGACGCUGAGGCGCGAAAGCGUGGGGAGCAAACAGGAUUAGAUACCCCAGUAGUC